rnacentral:rRNA from 1 species
UACGUAGGUGGCGAACGUUGUCCGGAUUUACUGGGCGUAAAGCGCGCGCAGGCGGACUGAUAAGUCAGAGGUGAAAUCUCCCGGCUCAACUGGGAGGGGCCCUUUGAUACUGUCGGUCUUGAGAUGCCUAGAGGAGAGUGGAAUUCCCCGGUGUAGUGGUGGAAUGCGUAGAUAUCUGGAGGAACACCAAUAGCGAAGGCAGCUCGCUGGGACGUUUACUGACGCU